AUCUGCCAAUGUGGAAACUUUAAAGCAGCUAUUGUGCUAGAUGGUUUGAACUCCAACUUUAUAUCCUUACCAAACAUACAUAAUUAUAGCCAUGCAUGACAAGCUAGAUUAAGCCUCAAACAGCCAAGCUUCUUUACACAAGCAGUCACUUUAGUUUGUCUUUGGUUCUCAUUCAAAGCCACAAGGAUAAGUUCUAGCAUAUAUGCAGGUACGCAGCUUCUGCCAGAAAACAUAAUGUAGGGCUUUGAUUUCUGCCAGAAAACAUAAUGUAGCAUCAAUGAUAAGAAAUGAUAUUCAGAAACUAACCUGCACACAACAAUAUGAAAUGAUAUUCGAAAACUACCGAAGCUUUGUUAACAACUCAUGCAAAAGAAGAAAAUGAAGGAGAGGGAGAGAGAGACUUCACUAAGAUCCAAUAAAACUCAAUUAAUUAGCCCAUAAUGCUAACAUUAACUACAAGAUUAAUUCGAAAGAAAAACUACAUCCCAAGGAUAAAAAUCCUAAACAAAAAGAAGAAGACGAAGAUGAAGAAACUAGAAAAGGAAAGCUUAAACUAAAGAAGGAGAGGGAGGGAGGGAGAACAUCGAAAAUCCUUAUGCCUGGUCUCGUCCUGCAUGCCACAAGGAUAAUUGUCAUUGCAAGCUUAAACUCUCUCCAUGCCUUGCAUCUUUCUGCAAUUGUUCAAUU
rnacentral:lncRNA from 1 species